rfam:Alligator mississippiensis ScZkoYb_6736, whole genome shotgun sequence.
CCGGGCAUGAUGAGGUACCUGAAGCCUGAUCUUUGCCAUGAUGGAUCACGUAUUCAUACUGCCUGACCCUA